rnacentral:lncRNA from 1 species
GUCAGUUGCCUGUAGAAUGGUUUUCAUUUUCAUCAGUGCAUUUGUAUCUAACAAAAAGGUAUUAUAAAAACACAUUUCACCUUCCCACCAUCUGAAAGCAAAGCCGUAGAAGAAUAUAUAAUUUCUUGGUAUAUGUCACAUAGAUUUUGUGAUACUUAAUGACUCUGUGACUUAAGGAAUAUUUAUCUGAGAAGAAAGGGGAGUAUGGUUUCGAGAUUUGACUUUUGCUCAGGGAAGCUUCUUUCUCUGCCUGUACUCUGAGCAAAUGUCUCUGGUUACCACUUUUCUUGCAUUAUGGUUAAAGGGAGUUGAGGACUCCCCAUAUGAAAAAGGAGUGUUGAAGUUUGUAAUGCUAAUAUUUUGGCCAGAGUUUGUAUUAUCACAUUAUCUGUUACUAUUUGAGAUUUAUGCAUAGUUUUAUUGAUAACAAGUUAGUUAAAAUUUCAGUGUUGGGUUUUAUAGCCAUAUCCUUUCCUUUCUUUUAUAGUAGGUACCCUAGUCAGUUCUGAGUUUGAUGUGCCCUCAUCAUGGUGGUUGCACGUCACUAUUAACCGUUAAAAUGUAGAUGAGGAGAUAGACAGCUGAUCUCUUUUUGGGCAGGGCUGUGUUCAGUGUUUUAUUUCCAGUGCCUCCCAUGGUGUGGCAUUAAUCAGGCACCUAACAUUUGUUGAUUGUUGAGAGAAAUGAAUACUUGACUAGUUUCUGAGAAAGCGCAUAAUGUGUCAGUUUAUAGCCAGUAUUACUGCAGUUUGUUUCUCCUCUUUCACUUCUGUUCCUUUCAUAUCAUAGCAUAUGAGAUUUACUUUUUCUUUUCUUGGACUAGUGACUUUGUAUUGUUAUUUUGGUGUACUUAGUUUAUGAAAUGUGUCUUGUGCAUGUCUGUGGGAUCAUGUUUU